rnacentral:tRNA from 1 species
UUCCCUCUAACUCAAUGAGUUAAGAGUCUGCCUGCAAUGCAGAAAAUCUGGGUUCGAUUCCUGGGUUGGAAA